rnacentral:rRNA from 1 species
UACGUAGGGUGCGAGCGUUAAUCGGAAUUACUGGGCGUAAAGCGUGCGCAGGCGGUUCGUUGUGUCGGUGGUGAAAUCCCCGGGCUUAACCUGGGAAUGGCCAUGGAAACUGGACGUAACUGGAGUGUGGCAGAGGGGGUGGAAUUCGCGUGUAGCAGUGAAAUGCGUAGAGAUGCGGAGGAACACCGAUGGCGAAGGCAGCCCCCUGGCUGACACUGACGCUCAGGCACGAAAGCGUGGGAGCAAACAGG